rnacentral:rRNA from 1 species
GUAAACUGAAGAGUUUGAUCAUGGCUCAGAUUGAACGCUGGCGGCAGGCCUAACACAUGCAAGUCGAGCGGUAACAGGUCCAGCUUGCUGGAUGCUGACGAGCGGCGGACGGGUGAGUAACGCAUAGGAAUCUACCCGGUAGUGGGGGAUAACCUGGGGAAACCCAGGCUAAUACCGCAUACGUCCUACGGG